rnacentral:tRNA from 1 species
GCGCCCUUAGCUCAAUCGGAUAGAGCGUCUGGCUUCGGACCAGAAGGCUCCAGGUUCGAGUCCUGGAGGGCGCA